UACCAGCACCCCGAGUGGUCGGGACGUUUAUUGGGCCUAAAGCAUCCGUAGCCGGUUCUACAAGUCUUCCGUUAAAUCCACCUGCUUAACAGAUGGGCUGCGGAAGAUACUAUAGAGCUAGGAGGCGGGAGAGGCAAGCGGUACUCGAUGGGUAGGGGUAAAAUCCGUUGAUCCAUUGAAGAACACCGGUGGCGAAGGCGGCAUCCUGGACCGAGAUUGACACUGAUGAGCGAAAGCUAGGGGAGCAAACGGG
rnacentral:rRNA from 1 species